rnacentral:lncRNA from 1 species
CUUACUCAUAUGAUAGUUCCUAGGUUCCCUGAAAUAAGUGAUGAAGGGGACUUUGAAUCCAAUGGUCAGUGACCUGUCCCUAACACUAGGAUUAAGGCUUCAUUACCUGAGAGGGAGUUCAUUGAUGGGAAAUUCUUCAAGCAACUUCCCUGAGGCAGAUGACAGUCAAAAUACAAAGGUUCUGUCCUGGGAAAUCCAGUUUGUCAUAAGAGAUACAGACUUUGGAAUAUGAUGCUUCUUCUAUCACAACUCUCUACCUUGGCCCUCGGCUUUCUUGAAUUCAGUGACUUCUUCUCUGCUUUGUUUUACUCAAACUCUCUGCCACAUUUGGUGUCGUGGAUGCUCGUGAAAUUCCAGGAAAUUCCUGAGCACUACACAGAGAGGUCCACCAGGCACCCCAAACUCAGUUUAUACAAAGUCAGCAUUGACCUGCAUCCUCUGCUUGCAUGGAGGCGUCUCCACUGAACCUUCCAUUCUUCUUGAGUUCCAGCCUCUCUCAGCAGUCUCCUCUCAGUGGCCUGGGCUGGAAAUCCAAAGGCAUCUUAAACCCUUCCCUUUUCCUCACCUGGCUUUUCCAGUCCACCUUGGCAUCCUCCUAGGUCUUGUCCUAUAUCACUGUUUCUCCAAGACUUGUCCUGCAUUUCAGAAAACCACAUCACAAAAGGCAGGAUCAUUCAAGGUAUCCAAAUCACCACAUUAAAUACUCUACAUUAUAUCCUGUCGUAUUUGCAGUUGCCGCUCUCACAGCGAUCUUCGUGUAGCUGAAAAUAUCUAACUGCUUCAUAUUGAAAUGCUUGAUAGUUGAUUGUAAAUGACUUUCUUUAUGUCUCUCCUUUAUAUUACACUUAGUGUAUGAUGAUUUCUGAAAUUCUGAGAGCAGGUUGAUUAUAUUAUUGAUGAACUUCGUUUCAGUCAGGGUUGAUAGGUACUGCUCUCUCUUUGAGCUUGUAUUUAAUCUUUCCUUCCCAGCCCCACUGCUUCUUUCCAAAUUCUUAUCUAGAUACUAAAAUUACCAUGCGUCCCCUGCCUCAUUCUCUGUGUCUCCAGCUUCUUGCCUCUCCAGUCCUCCUUUUGCCCUGCCGGAAAGAUGGUCAUCAUAGCACUCAUCAGACCAUGUCACUCUCCUCCUUCAAAGUCCUCAGUGGUUCCCCACUGUCUCAACAGGCAACUCUAACUCUUGAAUGUGGCAUGUGAAGCCGUCCCAGUGGGGUCACAACUGCCCUUCAAGCUGUGUCCCUCCCCAUGUCCCACCACACACCCUAGGCUUCAGUGACUGAGGUGCCUUUACUCCUCCAAACCUUUGCUUACACUGUUCCCUUUCUCUCCUAUCAAGACGACAGUGGCCUCCAAGCUUCAGUGCAAGGGUCACUCCUCAGGGAAACCUUCCUGCACCCAGGUCCCCCACUCUCCCUGAACACCCGACUUGAGUCCCUUAGAGCGCCCAGUUCAUCCCUCCUUGUACGGUAGUUCAGUUGUUCACACACAUCUCCCCUAAUGUGUGUGUCCCUUGAGCCAGGAUGGUCUCUUUUACCUUGUAUUCCCCUCAGUAACCAACACUUUGACACAGCAUGUGCCCAAGAAACACUUAUUGGGUUCAGUUGAAAUGGCAAGUCUUAGUAGAGCUCAAAGUAUUUCUGGAGAAAGAUGGGUUGGGUGAGACUAAGGGAAGGGAAGUCUCCCAGCUCUAUUAACCAAGCUAAAUUCAGGGCUCAGAGCUCCCCCAGGAAAGGCCUCAGACAUUUCCAUCUUGUUAUUUUAAUUGAAAUUAAAAGCACACAUCAAUAAAACAAUGAGGAGUAAAUACA